AGUGAACGCUGGCGGUAGGCCUAACACAUGCCAGUCGAACGGCAGCACAGUAAGAGCUUGCUCUUACGGGUGGCGAGUGGCGGACGGGUGAGGAAUACAUCGGAAUCUACUUUUUCGUGGGGGAUAACGUAGGGAAACUUACGCUAAUACCGCAUACGACCUACGGGUGAAAGCAGGGGAUCUUCGGACCUUGCGCGAUUGAAUGAGCCGAUGUCGGAUUAGCUAGUUGGCGGGGUAAAGGCCCACCAAGGCGACGAUCCGUAGCUGGUCUGAGAGGAUGAUCAGCCACACUGGAACUGAGACACGGUCCAGACUCCUACGGGAGGCAGCAGUGGGGAAUAUUGGACAAUGGGCGCAAGCCUGAUCCAGCCAUGCCGCGUGGGUGAAGAAGGCCUUCGGGUUGUUAAGCCCUUUUGUUGGGAAAGAAAAGCAGCAGGUUAAUACCCCGCUGUUCUGACGGUACCCAAAGAAUAAGCACCGGCUAACUUCGUG
rnacentral:rRNA from 1 species